rnacentral:rRNA from 1 species
UGGGGAAUAUUGCACAAUGGGGGAAACCCUGAUGCAGCGACGCCGCGUGAGCGAAGAAGGCCUUCGGGUCGUAAAGCUCUUUUAUGAGGGAAGAUAAUGACGGUACCCUGUGAGGAAGCCCCGGCUAACUACGUGCCAGCAGCCGCGGUAAUACGUAGGGGGCUAGCGUUAUCCGGAUUUACUGGGCGUAAAGGGUGCGUAGGUGGUCUUUCAAGUCGGUGGUUAAAGGCUACGGCUCAACCGUAGUUAGCCUCCGAAACUGGAAGACUUGAGUGCAGGAGAGGAAAGUGGAAUUCCCAGUGUAGCGGUGAAAUGCGUAGAUAUUGGGAGGAACACCAGUAGCGAAGGCGGCUUUCUGGACUGCAACUGACACUGAGGCACGAAAGCGUGGGUAGCAAACAGG